AUGGAUAUUACAAGGAGAGUAAUCGGCCCAUUGACUGAACAAAUUGAAAAGUCUUACUUAAUUAAGCACUGGAGCACGUACCGUCCAAUCGCAAUUGAGCACGGAAGAAGAAGAAGAAAACGAAGCGAAAGUGAAGACGCGAAGGGAGAGGAAACAGAGCAUGGGCCGUGGAGCGGUGCGUACCUGCAGGGCGGCGGCGUCGUGCCUGGGGCCGUCGGCGGCGGGGGCGGGCGCCUGGCAGCCGCCGAGGAAGUCCCGGGUGACGAGCUCCGGCGCGAUGGUCCCGCCGUCCGCCGCGCGGGACAUCAUGAAGCCCACCGCCUCAGCGACCAUCUAGCACGCCACCUCGAAGAGGAGGAAGAAGGAGGAGGUGCUUGGUUGGAACAAGGAGGGAGCGGCAAUGGAGGUUGUGAGGGAGGGAGACGCGGGGGGAGGAGGAGGUAG
rnacentral:rRNA from 1 species